rnacentral:rRNA from 1 species
UAGGGAAUCUUCGGCAAUGGGGGCAACCCUGACCGAGCAACGCCGCGUGAGUGAAGAAGGUUUUCGGAUCGUAAAGCUCUGUUGUAAGAGAAGAACGUGUGUGAGAGUGGAAAGUUCACACAGUGACGGUAACUUACCAGAAGGGGACGGCUAACUACGUGCCAGUAGCCGCGGUAAUACGUAGGUCCCGAGCGUUGUCCGGAUUUAUUGGGCGUAAAGCGAGCGCAGGCGGUUUAAUAAGUCUGAAGUUAAAGGCAGUGGCUUAACCAUUGUUCGCUUUGGAAACUGUUAGACUUGAGUGCAGAAGGGGAGAGUGGAAUUCCAUGUGUAGCGGUGAAAUGCGUAGAUAUAUGGAGGAACACCGGUGGCGAAAGCGGCUCUCUGGUCUGUAACUGACGCUGAGGCUCGAAAGCGUGGGGAGCAAACAG